rnacentral:pre_miRNA from 1 species
UUGAUUUAAGAAGGCGGCUAUUUGUAAUAGUCGCAUUCUUAAAUCAAGCGCUUGAUUUAAGAAUGCGAUUAUUACAAAUAGUCACCUUCUUAAAUCAUUUU